UACGUAGGGGGCAAGCGUUGUCCGGAUUUAUUGGGCGUAAAGGGCUCGUAGGCGGUUGGGCAAGUCACGUGUGAAGUCUCCACGCUCAACGUGGAGGCGCCACGUGAGACUGCCCUGACUCGAGUCCGGUAGGGGAGCGUGGAAUUCCCGGUGUAGCGGUGAAAUGCGCAGAGAUCGGGAGGAACACCCGUAGCGAAGGCGGCGCUCUGGGCCGGUACUGACGCUGAGACGCGAAAGCGUGGGGAGCGAACAGG
rnacentral:rRNA from 1 species